rnacentral:lncRNA from 1 species
UUUGGCAUCAUCUGCAAAUUUGAUAUAAGCGUACUCCAUUGCCUCUUCCAGACCAUUUAAUAAAGAUUUUAUACAGGAUAGGUUCCAGGAUAGACCUCUGUAGUACUCCAUUGUGAUUAUGUGCUGGGACAAAAAGUGAUAGUUAAAUGAACUCUGAUAGUUUAUUUAGCUUAUACUUGCUGCUGUUACAUCCUCAGUCACAAAGAUCUUAUCUGAUCACCUGGCAUUGAUGCAGAAUAUUGAGUUAUCAACCCAUUACCUGCUCCUGACUGAUCUCAGCCCUUUGCAACCAAAGAAGAGACAGUACAAAUACAGUAUUGGAAUAGAAGAUGUAAAACAUUUGCACCCCCAUGGUGGAAAGGAGAAAUCCACUACUGUAUCUGCAAGCCUCUUGCUUAACACCUGUUAUAGAAAGGCUGCUUGCCUACCUAGGAUUCCUGUUCGGAUGCUUCUGGCUGUGCUCCAAGACCAGGGGUUGAUGGAUGUCCUGAAUCUGCUUAGCAACCAUCUGUUUUGA